rnacentral:rRNA from 1 species
GGGCCCGCACAAGCGGUGGAGCAUGUGGUUUAAUUCGAUGAUACGCGAGGAACCUUACCAGGGCUUAAAUGUACGUUGCAUAAUUCAGAGAUGAAUUUUUCUUCGGACCACGUACAAGGUGCUGCAUGGUUGUCGUCAGCUCGUGCCGUGAGGUGUCAGGUUAAGUCCUAUAACGAGCGCAACCCCUGUCGCUAGUUGCCAGCAAGUUAUGUUGGGUACUCUAGUGAAACUGCCGGUGCAAACCGAGAGGAAGGUGGGGACGACGUCAAAUCAUCACGGCCCUUAUGUCCUGGGCUACACACGUGCUACAAUGGCCGGUACAGAGAGCAGCCACUACGCGAGUAGGAGCGAAUCUAUAAAACCGGUCUCAGUUCGGAUCGGAGUCUGCAACUCGACUCCGUGAAGCUGGAAUC